rnacentral:tRNA from 1 species
GCCUUCGUGGUGUAACGGUUAGCACACUCGGCGCGCAUUUGAGAGGUUUGGGUUCGAAUCCCGGCGAAGCCA